ACGCUCGACACCUACGGAGGCAGCAGUGGGGAAUAUUGCACAAUGGGGGAAACCCUGAUGCAGCGACGCCGCGUGAGUGAAGAAGUAUUUCGGUAUGUAAAGCUCUAUCAGCAGGGAAGAAGAUGACGGUACCUGAGUAAGAAGCCCCGGCUAACUACGUGCAAGCAGCCGCGGUAAUCUGAGCGGGCUGGCAAGGC
rnacentral:rRNA from 1 species